rnacentral:rRNA from 1 species
UACUCGAGUGGCGAACGGGUGAGUAACACGUGGGUGAUAUGCCCUGCACUUCGGGAUAAGCUUGGGAAACUGGGUCUAAUACCGGAUAGGAGCCAUCUUUAGUGUGGUGGUUGGAAAGUUUUUUCGGUGUAAGAUGAGCUCGCGGCCUAUCAGCUUGUUGGUGGGGUAAUGGCCUACCAAGGCGGCGACGGGUAGCCGGCCUGAGAGGGUGUACGGCCACAUUGGGACUGAGAUACGGCCAG